GCACCUUCGGUGUCCGAGUUGUAAUUUGAAGAAGGUAACUUUGGAGUUGGCUCUUGUCUAUGUUCCUUGGAACAGGACGUCACAGAGGGUGAGAAUCCCGUGCGAUGAGAUGUCCAACUCUAUGUAAAGUGCUUUCGAAGAGUCGAGUUGUUUGGGAAUGCAGCUCUAAGUGGGUGGUAAAUUCCAUCUAAAGCUAAAUAUUGGCGAGAGACCGAUAGCGAACAAGUACAGUGAUGGAAAGAUGAAAAGAACUUUGAAAAGAGAGUGAAAAAGUACGUGAAAUUGUUGAAAGGGAAGGGUUUGAGAUCAGACUUGGUAUUUUGUAUGUCUUGCUUUCGGGUGGGGCCUCUGCAGUUUACUGGGCCAGCAUCGGUUUGGACGGUAGGAUAAUGACAUUGGAAUGUGGCACUACUUCGGUGGUGUGUUAUAGACUUUGUUGAUACUACCUGUCUAGACCGAGGACUGCGUCUUUGACUAGGAUGCUGGCAUAAUGAUCCUAAACCGCCCGUCUUGAAACACGGACCAAGGAGUCUAACGUCUAUGCAAGUGUUUGGGUGUAAAACCCGUACGCGUAAUGAAAGUGAACGUAGGUGAGAGCUCUUUAGAGUGCAUCAUCGACCGAUCCUGAUGUCUUCGGAUGGAUUUGAGUAAGAGCAUAGCUGUUGGGACCCGAAAGAUGGUGAACUAUGCCUGAAUAGGGUGAAGCCAGAGGAAACUCUGGUGGAGGCUCGUAGCGGUUCUGACGUGCAAAUCGA
rnacentral:rRNA from 1 species